GACGAACGCUGGCGGCGUGCUUAACACAUGCAAGUCGAACGGUGAAGCGCCUUCCUUUUUGGUGGGUGUGGAUGAGUGGCGAACGGGUGAGUAACACGUGAGUAACCUGCCCCCUUCUUCUGGAUAACCGCAUGAAAGUGUGGCUAAUACGGGAUAUUCUGGGUCUGUCGCAUGAUGGGUCUGGGAAAGAUAUUGUUUCGGUGGGGGAUGGGCUCGCGGCCUAUCAGCUUGUUGGUGGGGUGAUGGCCUACCAAGGCGGUGACGGGUAGCCGGCCUGAGAGGGUGGACGGUCACACUGGGACUGGGACACGGCCAAGACUCCUACGGGAGGCAGCAGUGGGGAAUAUUGCACAAUGGGCGCAAGCCUGAUGCAGCGCCGCCGCGUGAGGGAUGGAGGCCUUCGGGUUGUGAACCUCUUUCGCCAGUGAAGCAGGCCUGCCUCGUUUGUGGGUGGGUUGACGGUAGCUGGAUAAGAAGCGCCGGCUAACUACGUG
rnacentral:rRNA from 1 species